ACUAGAUUAGCCCAGUUGGUUAGAGCAUGAGACUCUUAAUCUCAGGGUAAUGGGUUCGAUUCCCAGGUUUGGCA